rnacentral:rRNA from 1 species
UACAGAGGGUGCGAGCGUUGUCCGGAAUCACUGGGCGUAAAGGGCGCGUAGGUGGUGGCUUAAGCGUGCGGUGAAAGCUCGGAGCUCAACUCCGAGUCGGCCGUGCGAACUGGGCUCACUGGAGCAUAGUAGAGGCAGGUGGAAUUCCGGGUGUAGCGGUGGAAUGCGUAGAGAUCCGGAAGAACACCGGUGGCGAAGGCGGCCUGCUGGGCAGUGGCUGACGCUGAGGCGCGACAGCGUGGGGAGCAAACAGG